CAAGUUGAACGAAGAGAUGAAGGAGCCUUGCUCCUUCAAUCGAGUGGCGAACGGGUGAGUAACGCGUGAGGAACCUGCCUCAAAGAGGGGGACAACAGUUGGAAACGACCGCUAAUACCGCAUAAGCCCACGGCUCGGCAUCGAGCAGAGGGAAAAGGAGCAAUCCGCUUUGAGAUGGCCUCGCGUCCGAUUAGCUAGUUGGUGAGGUAACGGCCCACCAAGGCGACGAUCGGUAGCCGGACUGAGAGGUUGAACGGCCACAUUGGGACUGAGACACGGCCCAGACUCCUACGGGAGGCAGCAGUGGGGAAUAUUGCACAAUGGGGGAAACCCUGAUGCAGCGACGCCGCGUGGAGGAAGAAGGUCUUCGGAUUGUAAACUCCUGUUGUUGAGGAAGAUAAUGACGGUACUCAACAAGGAAGUGACGGCUAACUACGUGCCAGCAGCCGCGGUAAAACGUAGUCACAAGCGUUGUCCGGAAUUACUGGUGUAAAGGGAGCGCAGGCGGAGACNNAAGUUGGAAGUGAAUCCAUGGGCUCAACCCAUGAACUGCUUUCAAAACUGUUUUUCUGNAGUAGUGCAGAGGUAGGCGGAAUUCCCGGUGUAGCGGUGGAAUGCGUAGAUAUCGGGAGGAACACCAGUGGCGAAGGCGGCCUACUGGGCACCAACUGACGCUGAGGCUCGAAAGUGUGGGUAGCAAACAGGAUUAGAUACCCUGGUAGUCCACACCGUAAACGAUGAUUACUAGGUGUUGGAGGAUUGACCCCUUCAGUGCCGCAGUUAACACAAUAAGUAAUCCACCUGGGGAGUACGACCGCAAGGUUGAAACUCAAAGGAAUUGACGGGGGCCCGCACAAGCAGUGGAGUAUGUGGUUUAAUUCGACGCAACGCGAAGAACCUUACCAAGUCUUGACAUCCCUUGACGAUGCUGGAAACAGUAUUUCUCUUCGGAGCAAGGAGACAGGUGGUGCAUGGUUGUCGUCAGCUCGUGUCGUGAGAUGUUGGGUUAAGUCCCGCAACGAGCGCAACCCUUAUGGUCAGUUACUACGCAAGAGGACUCUGGCCAGACUGCCGUUGACAAAACGGAGGAAGGUGGGGAUGACGUCAAAUCAUCAUGCCCUUUAUGACUUGGGCUACACACGUACUACAAUGGCGUUAAACAAAGAGAAGCAAGACCGCGAGGUGGAGCAAAACUCAGAAACAACGUCCCAGUUCGGACUGCAGGCUGCAACUCGCCUGCACGAAGUCGGAAUUGCUAGUAAUCGUGGAUCAGCAUGCCACGGUGAAUACGUUCCCGGGCCUU
rnacentral:rRNA from 1 species